rnacentral:rRNA from 1 species
ACGGCCCUACCAUGCUGAAUAUACCGGUUCUCGUUAGAUCACCGAAGUCAAGCAUCAUUGGGCGCGGCCCUUGGGUGGGAGACCACCUGGGGACACCGCGUGCCGUU